rnacentral:rRNA from 1 species
AUCGGCGGAGAGGUAUUGGCUGGGACGCGCCCCAGGCGCACCCAGAAACCCUUUGUGAACUUAUACCUUACUGUUGCCUCGGCGCAUGCCGGCCCCCCUGGGGGCCCCUCCUUCUGGAGGAGCAGGCACGCCGGCGGCCAACCCAACUCUUGUUUUUACACUGAAACUCUGAGAAUAAAACAUAAAUGAAUCAAAACUUUCAACAACGGAUCUCUUGGUUCUGGCAUCGAUGAAGAACGCAGCGAAAUGCGAUAAGUAAUGUGAAUUGCAGAAUUCAGUGAAUCAUCGAAUCUUUGAACGCACAUUGCGCCCUCUGGUAUUCCGGAGGGCAUGCCUGUUCGAGCGUCAUUUCAACCCUCAAGCCUGGCUUGGUGAUGGGGCACUGCCUGUAAAAGGGCAGGCCCUGAAAUUCAGUGGCGAGCUCGCCAGGACCCCGAGCGCAGUAGUUAAACCCUCGCUUUGGAAGGCCCUGGCGGUGCCCUGCCGUUAAACCCCCAACUUCUGAAAAUUUGACCUCGGAUCAGGUAGGAAUACCCGCUGAACUUAAGCAUAUCAAUAAGGCGGAGGAA